GGGGUUGUGGCUCAGUGGCAGAGCUUUUACCUUGCAUGCACAAGGCCUUGGGUUCAGACCCCACCACUACCC
rnacentral:tRNA from 1 species